ensembl:lncRNA
CUUCCUACAUAUAUUCGGUGACAGUUUGCUUUGACUUACUGCUGGCUGCAAAAUGGGUCCGUUAAUUAAAAAAAUCUCUUUCCCCUUCUGAGGCAGUCCGAUGGGGGCAGAAGAGCCAUUGCGCAUACGCCUUCCAAGCAGGUGAGGUGCGGAGCAUCCUCCGCACGCUGCCAGCAGGAGCCUGCUGGUUUUCCUUAGAGAAACCCCGCUUUUUCGCAGGAAACGUGAUGCAGGGUAUGCAAAAAGCAGAGUGGCCGUAAGGGACUUGGUGCCUGUUUUCCCCCCAAACUUCCUCGAGCGGUAUCAGAAGAGAAGGUGAAAGCGCUUGUUUAAAAGCCCCCCUUUUAAAGGCAAAUUUGUCCCUAACCGAAGGAGAAACUAAGCGUGAGGAGGGGAAGAAAUGCGAACAGCGGCGAGCUGAAAACCUCCGUUAGCAGCAUCACCAGUCCCCAGGUGCGGCGGGGACCGACGGGCGCCGCGCGGUUUUCCCCCGUGGAAAAGCGCUACCUGCUUUUUGCCAGGUCUGCUGAGGAGUGGAGGGUGCAUCCGCGGAAAAAUGGGUUGUUCCCCGGCAUUGGGAGUGAACGAGAAACAGCUGGGAAAGAGGAGCGGGGAAAACUGUCUCCAUGCGCUCCCGCUCUUCUUCCACUCCCCCCCUCCUUUUUUUUUUUGUUAAAACCAGGGUGUGUUUCCUUAUGAGGUACCUAGAGGAAUAAUCCUGCGGUUUGCUCUCUCGUUUUGUUCUCUCCGCCCUUUAUCGUUCGUAGGUGGAAGAGGCACAUAUUGAUGAGAAGAGGAAGGAGUCACAUCAGAACCAGGGAUACUGGAAAAUCUAAAUCUACUUACUUAAGUCUUACUAUGGAAGGAUGCAACACAGAGAAAUACAGCUUGCACCACCUGCAAAAGGGAGCAUCAGGAAAAUGGGGAUUUGAAACACAGACGAUAAAUGUAAAUGACAUACCAAGGAUGAAAAAGUUUCCCCAUGCAGGAGGCAGUGAGGCCUGGUCAGCAAGGCAGAUGACCUGGUUCUGUUCCUGGCAUUGUUUCUGGCUUUUGGGGAACCAAUAUCAAGUCAUUUCUCUCUAUGCUUCCUUCUCCCUAUGCUUUAAACAGGAGUAA